rnacentral:tRNA from 1 species
AAGAACGAAACGCCCAGUGUUUAAGUUUCGGCCUUAAAAUUUUAAGGUUUUCCUUACGUUCUUU